AUUGAACGCUGGCGGCAGGCCUAACACAUGCAAGUCGAACGAGUGGCGGACGGGUGAGUAAUGUCUGGGAAACUGCCUGAUGGCGGGGGAUAACUACUGGAAACGGUAGCUAAUACCGCAUACCAUCGGAUGUGCCCAGAUGGGAUUAGCUAGUCGGUGGGGUAACGGCUCACCUAGGCCAAGAUCCCUAGCUGGGCUGAGAGGCUGACCGGCCACACUGGAACUGAGACACGGUCCAGACUCCUACGGGAGGCAGCAGUGGGGAAUCUUGCACAAUGGGCGCAAGCCUGAUGGAGCAAUGCCGCGUGUAUGAAGAAGGCCUUCGGGUUGUAAAGUACUUUCAGCGGGGAGGCGUUACCCGCAGAGAAAGCCCCGGCUAACUCCGGGCCAGCAGCCGCGGUAAUAC
rnacentral:rRNA from 1 species